CGAUAUGGAAUUCGAAAGAAGCUGGUGGCAAACAGCUGGUCUGACGGGCAGAAACUUCAUAUAAAGUAUAUGACAGUGAAUUAGGAUGCAAGACAAGUCAAAAUCCUAUAGCUAUCGGAACUGUCGAUGUAAAUGAGGCAAACACAAA
rnacentral:ncRNA from 1 species